rnacentral:lncRNA from 1 species
AUUCCUUUUUACAUUUUGAUGCUUCUAAUACCUUUUUUAUCAUAAAAAAGGGUUGAAUCUAUAUAUUUUUCAUAAAAAUAAUCAUAAUUUAUAAAAUAUUGUAAAAAUUUGGUGCACGGAAAAUCAGCGUUUGUUUACGUUCUCUCCGCCGCCAUUUUGGAUUUUGGGAGAAGGCCAGCUGUGAAGUUUCUACACUAAAAAUCGGAAAAAAGCGUAAAAAUGUCGUCAGAUGAGUCUGAUAUUGACCUGAAUGACUCAAUGGAUGAAGAAUCUGAUGUCUGGGUACCAGAAUCGGACGAUGAGGGUCCCGAGGACGGAAACCAAGCCCCGACUUUGACCAAUCGUGAUCAAAACAACAGAAACUAGCCACAACCUCCACGUAACCAGUCUUACGCGGACCAGGAUGAUGGCCCACCAGAACCACUGCCUCAGUUUAGGCCUGCCGUGCUGUUGGCCUGCAUCUCCCUGACUGUAUCACCCGACAGGACAUCCGAAGUUUUCUGACGCCAGCAUCCUUCUUCAAACUGUUUUUCUGCACUGAGAUGGUGAAUCAGAUCUGCCUCUUCUCUAAUGAGUACGCCCCGAUGACAGGACCCAACAAACCAUCUGUCUUUCGCUCCUGGGAGGAUCUUGACUCUGAGAUGUUUCUCAAGUUCGUUGGACUGCUAAUGUAUAUGUCUAUUGUUCAUCUACCAAAUUUAGAGCUGUACUGGUCUACGAAAACCUGUUUUCAUGGACUAUGGGCAAGGGCAUACAUGAGCAAACUAAAUUUCAAACAAAUUCAGUCUUUUUUUAAAUUAUGCAAUCCAGACACUGAGCGAGGUACUGAUAAGCUACGGAAAGUUAGGUUUGUGCACUAUUUUUUGAGUAUGAAAUGUAUGAAGUAUUGGCAACCUAACCAGUGUGUUAGCAUAGAUGAGAGGAUGGUUCAAAAUAAGGGGAGAUACAGUUUCAGGCAAUACAUAAAGGAUAACUAAAUGGGGGAUGAAGUUACGGGUGGUUGCAGAUUCGAUGAAUGGGUACACAUACAAUUAUGAAGUUUACACAGGGAAGGAUGGGGGCACACUAUUGGAUAUUUUUGUUUCAAUAAAAAUAGAAACUGUUUGCUUGCAGAGCAUACUGUAGAAUAGUCUUUUGCCACUUACUACAAUUAUUGGACAGUUGAGUAGAAAAA